rnacentral:lncRNA from 1 species
UAUGAUUGACCUACUGCGAAAAGUUUUUGACUUUUUACACAGCCUCAUUCAUUUGCCGUUAGAGGGUGCAUGUGUUCAACCACGUGAUUUUAAAUGCGUUCUCGAUUGUCAUCACUUCCGACUUUAUCUUAUAGAAAAGUUACUAAGCCGGAAACUUUCUCAUUAGCGGUAUGGAUUUUGUUGCUCAUCAAAUUGUUUGGUAAGCAUUCUUUGGAAUUUGAUUUUAAUGAAAUUUAUGUUUAAUAUUCUUAAAGCUUCAAGCAAUAUAAAAAGUCUUCUUACGUCCCAUGCUUAGCUUAACAAGUUUUCUUUGAAGUAUGUGUUAUCGUCCAAGUUUAUUAACUAAGCAUGGAACAAAACAAAUUUAUCUUCAUUAUUUACUUGAAUGGUUCAACUUUUAAUUUUUGCAAGUGAAAGAAGGAAUAACCAUCCUUUCCAAAGAUUUUUUCAUAGAUCUGUUGUCGUAAAUACAUUUAAUGGAAAGAAUAAUAAGAGCUGAUAGUGGAAGCGGAGCAAUUUAGGAACCUCUGACUUGAAGAAAGCUAAUUUUUUGAAGGAAAAAUUUUUUUUAUUGCUCUUGAACAAAAUUUUUACAUGCCCUAUGUUGAACAGUUUAAUAAAAACACUAAAAUUUUCAUAACCUAAUGCUUGAUGAAAGAAGUUCAUACAAUCAGCUUAUAGCUGUUAACAAAAUUAGAACUUUUCAUUAUCACUCUAAAUAGCGCUGCUUAAUAGUCAAAUUAUUUUUGAACCAUUUAACAUGCAGUGUAUUGCAGUCUGAAUACAGUUAUAAGCUAAUCCACUCCUCAGGGGGUUUACCUUUUUCAGGUAAACACGGGCUCCACAACCCCGAGGUACCCCAGUGAUAUUUUUUUGUCAGUUUUGUUGCCUUUAUGUAAUAUAUUAAAGACAAAAUCUUGCUCUUGUGUGUGCCAAUGAAUUCUACAUUGAAUACAAUUCAUGAUAAAAUAUUAAAUGCACCUCUAUUUCCUGAAAGAAGAAAUUAUAGAAAAUUACAGAGCUUGUGCUAAGUAAUAUGU